rnacentral:rRNA from 1 species
UACGUAGGGUCCGAGCGUUGUCCGGAAUUAUUGGACGUAAAGGGCUCGUAGGCGGUCUGUUGCGUCAGGAGUGAAAACUCGGGGCUUAACCCCGAGCCUGCUUCUGAUACGGGCAGACUAGAGGUAUGCAGGGGAGAACGGAAUUCCUGGUGUAGCGGUGAAAUGCGCAGAUAUCAGGAGGAACACCGGUGGCGAAGGCGGUUCUCUGGGCCGAUACUGACGCUGAGGAGCGAAAGCGUGGGGAGCGAACAGG